UGCUGUUGAAGUUAGGAAUCACAGUGGAAAGACUUUAUGCGACUAUUUGGAGGCUCUUCCUCGUGAAUGGAUUUCAGAAGAUUUGAUAGAGGCACUUAGGGAGAAGGGGGUCCGUCUAUCUCCCACAGUAUAUGAAGUGGGGGACUGGGUGAAAUUCAAGAGAAGCAUUGUGACACCAACUUAUGGGUGGCAAGGUGCUAGACAUAAGAGUGUUGGUUUCGUUCAAAAUGUCCUUGACAGAGACAAUCUCAUCGUGUCCUUUUGCUCUGGGGAGGGCCGGGAGGCUCAAGUAUGCCGUGAGGCUCAAGUAUUAGUAGAUGAAGUUGUAAAAGUGAUUCCACUGGACAGGGGGCAACAUGUGAAGCUCAAGGCAGAUGUGAAAGAACCAAGAUUUGGUUGGCGUGACCAUGCCCAUGACAGCAUAGGAACUGUUUUAUGUGUAGAUGAUGAUGGGGUUCUUCGUGUUGGGUUUCCUGGAGCAUCUAGAGGGUGGAAAGCUGAUCCUGCAGAAAUGGAACGUGUGGAGGAAUUCAAGGUUGGAGAUUGGGUCCGCAUUCGUCCUACACUUACAACAGCUAAACAUGGAUUUGGAUCUGCAACACCAGGAAGCAUUGGUGUAGUGUACUGUAUUAGACCAGACAACAGUCUGAUGGUGGAACUUAGCUACCUUCCUCAUCCAUGGCAUUGUGAGCCAGAAGAGGUUGAACCUGUUGAGCCAUUCAGAAUUGCUGAUAGGGUCUGUGUGAAGCGCACUGUUGCUGAGCCAAGAUAUGCUUGGGGCGGUGAAACACAUCAUAGUGUAGGAAAAAUAAUUGAUAUAGAGGCUGACGGUCUGUUGAUCAUAGAAAUUCCCAAUCGGCCGAUCCCGUGGCAGGCAGAUCCUUCGGACAUGGAGAAGGUGGAAGAUUUCAAGGUAGGUGACUGGGUAAGAGUAAAAGCUUCAGUUCCCUCACCCAAAUAUGGUUGGGAGGACAUCACAAGGAAUAGUGUAGGAAUAAUCCACAGUUUGGAAGAAGAUGGUGAUGUUGGCAUUGCAUUUUGCUUCCGUAGCAAGCCUUUCUCUUGUUCAGUGACAGAUGUGGAGAAGGUGCCGCCUUUCGAAGUUGGACAGGAAAUUCAUGUUCUGCCAUCUGUUUCUCAGCCUAGACUUGGAUGGUCCAAUGAGACACCAGCAACGGUUGGGAAGAUUGCCAGAAUCGACAUGGAUGGUGCUUUAAAUGUUAGGGUUGCUGGGAGAGACAGUUUAUGGAAG
rnacentral:misc_RNA from 1 species